rnacentral:rRNA from 1 species
UGUGUAGGCGGCCCCUUAAGUUUGGUGUGAAAUCUCCCGGCUCAACUGGGAGGGUGCGCCGAAUACUGAGGGGCUAGAGUGCGGGAGAGGAGAGUGGAAUUCCUGGUGUAGCGGUGAAAUGCGUAGAUAUCAGGAGGAACACCGGCGGUGUAGACGGCUCUCUGGACCGUAACUGACGCUGAGACACGAAAGCGUGGGUAGCAAACAGGAUUAGAUACCCUGGUAGUCCACGCCCUAAACGAUGCAUAUUUGGUGUGGGCAGUUCAUUCUGUCCGUGCCGGAGCUAACGCGUUAAAUAUGCCGCCUGGGGAGUACAGUCGCAAGGCUGAA